rnacentral:rRNA from 1 species
GACGAACGCUGGCGGCGUGCCUAAUACAUGCAAGUAGAACGCUGAAGAGAGGAGCUUGCUCUUCUUGGAUGAGUUGCGAACGGGUGAGUAACGCGUAGGUAACCUGCCUUGUAGCGGGGGAUAACUAUUGGAAACGAUAGCUAAUACCGCAUAACAAUAGGUGACACAUGUCAUUUAUUUGAAAGGGGCAAUUGCUCCACUACAAGAUGGACCUGCGUUGUAUUAGCUAGUAGGUGAGGUAACGGCUCACCUAGGCGACGAUACAUAGCCGACCUGAGAGGGUGAUCGGCCACACUGGGACUGAGACACGGCCCAGACUCCUACGGGAGGCAGCAGUAGGGAAUCUUCGGCAAUGGGGGCAACCCUGACCGAGCAACGCCGCGUGAGUGAAGAAGGUUUUCGGAUCGUAAAGCUCUGUUGUAAGUCAAGAACGAGUGUGAGAGUGGAAAGUUCACACUGUGACGGUAGCUUACCAGAAAGGGACGGCUAACUACGUGCCAGCAGCCGCGGUAAUACGUAGGUCCCGAGCGUUGUCCGGAUUUAUUGGGCGUAAAGCGAGCGCAGGCGGUUUGAUAAGUCUGAAGUUAAAGGCUGUGGCUCAACCAUAGUUCGCUUUGGAAACUGUCAAACUUGAGUGCAGAAGGGGGGAGUGGAAUUCCAUGUGUAGCGGUGAGAUGCGUAGAUAUAUGGAGGAACACCGGUGGCGAAAGCGGCUCUCUGGUCUGUAACUGACGCUGAGGCUCGAAAGCGUGGGGAGCGAACAGGAUUAGAUACCCUGGUAGUCCACGCCGUAAACGAUGAGUGCUAGGUGUUGGAUCCUUUCCGGGAUUCAGUGCCGCAGCUAACGCAUUAAGCACUCCGCCUGGGGAGUACGACCGCAAGGUUGAAACUCAAAGGAAUUGACGGGGGCCCGCACAAGCGGUGGAGCAUGUGGUUUAAUUCGAAGCAACGCGAAGAACCUUACCAGGUCUUGACAUCCCGAUGCUAUUUCUAGAGAUAGAAAGUUACUUCGGUACAUCGGUGACAGGUGGUGCAUGGUUGUCGUCAGCUCGUGUCGUGAGAUGUUGGGUUAAGUCCCGCAACGAGCGCAACCCCUAUUGUUAGUUGCCAUCAUUCAGUUGGGCACUCUAGCGAGACUGCCGGUAAUAAACCGGAGGAAGGUGGGGAUGACGUCAAAUCAUCAUGCCCCUUAUGACCUGGGCUACACACGUGCUACAAUGGUUGGUACAACGAGUUGCGAGUCGGUGACGGCAAGCUAAUCUCUUAAAGCCAAUCUCAGUUCGGAUUGUAGGCUGCAACUCGCCUACAUGAAGUCGGAAUCGCUAGUAAUCGCGGAUCAGCACGCCGCGGUGAAUACGUUCCCGGGCCU